AUGCUCGCGUUGGCAGUACAUACACUAAAGUUGGAACAAUACAGAGAAUGUUAGCAUGGCCUCUGCUAAUAGGAUGACAUGCAAAUUCCUGAAGCAUUCCAUAUUAAA
ensembl:snRNA U6 U6 spliceosomal RNA